AGCGAACGCUGGCGGCAGGCUUAACACAUGCAAGUCGAGCGGGCACUUUCGGGUGUCCGCGGCGGACGGGUGAGUAACGCGUGGGAACGUGCCCUCUGGUUCGGAAUAACUCAGGGAAACUUGAGCUAAUACCGGAUACGCCCUUUUGGGGAAAGGCUUGCUGCCGGAGGAUCGGCCCGCGUCUGAUUAGCUAGUUGGUGAGGUAACGGCUCACCAAGGCGACGAUCAGUAGCUGGUCUGAGAGGAUGAUCAGCCACACUGGGACUGAGACACGGCCCAGAAUCCUACGGGAGGCAGCAGUGGGGAAUAUUGGACAAUGGGCGCAAGCCUGAUCCAGCCAUGCCGCGUGAGUGAUGAAGGCCUUAGGGUUGUAAAGCUCUUUUAUCCGGGACGAUAAUGACGGUACCGGAGGAAUAAGCCCCGGCUAACUUCGUG
rnacentral:rRNA from 1 species